AGAAUCAACGCUGGCGGCGUGCCUCAGACAUGCAAGUCGAACGCGAAAGUCCCCUUCGGGGGAUGAUUAGAGUGGCGCACGGGUGAGUAACACGUAGGUAAUCUACCUUCGAGUGGGGAAUAACUCAGGGAAACUUGAGCUAAUACCGCAUAAUGCAGCGGCACCACAUGGUGACAGUUGUUAAAGCAUUUAUGCGCUUGAAGAGGAGCCUGCGGCAGAUUAGCUAGUUGGUAAGGUAAUGGCUUACCAAGGCUACGAUC
rnacentral:rRNA from 1 species